rnacentral:lncRNA from 1 species
CUCUGAUACUAGUUGAAGGAAAGGAAACAGUUUCCCUCCAGAAUACCUAGAUUGUAUCUAAAAUUUUUUUCUAAUAUUCUACUUAUUUAAGGAUCAAAUUUUUACCUAAAUCAUAAUAGAAUCAGAGAUUAAAUAUUAAAUUAUUUGAUAUAAACUUUCGCGGAGGCCUGGAUAUACAGACCUUCUACUUCGCAUGCAUGCC